UUUUUCAUUAUCGAUUAAGGUUAGCGUGUGAGGCUAAAUUUAAUUGUAAUGAAUAAAUAAUUUUUCAUCAACUUUAUCAUCUGCCUGGAUCUCAUUUUGCCAAGUUUCUGCAUCAGCUUAUAUGAUAUUUUCUACACUGGAUGCGCUGUGGAAGACAGCUUCCAGAAUCUACAUGAGUUCAGUGCUGGAUUUGCACAAAGGCUUUUACUGAAAGAAGCAGUUCCCACUUUAAAAGCAGAAGCUACUGUUUAUGGGCAUCAAACUGGAGCGGAAGAAGCAGAAGCAUGAAGUCAGGGGUGAGUCAAGAUGGCGGUAGGUGAAGACGAUCUUUUUUAAGUGGAGUUACGUUUUCCGUUUUUUACCCUUCUAACAUAAUUUUUUUUAUUAUGAAUUGACGACAAACAAUAUAUUUUAUGAACUGUGUGUUUAAUUGUUGAACUCUAUCUACUUUUACACUGUGAAUAUCAAGAAGUUUUAACUGAACUGAACUGAGUUGGCCUUUACCUUAGCCAUGGCGGGGCCAUGAUUGAUUUGUAUAACUUAAUUAACGAGAGAUUGGACAGAAUUGAAUUGAAAAGUCUCCGAAAAUGCUGUGCUAGUCGAAGAUUUGCAGGAGAAAGUGGACUGCAUAUACAACGAAGUGGGCAGCUUUCACAUUGAAAUGGACGUUCACAAACAGAAACAUGAAGCUUAUGAACAGAAAAUUGCGAAAUUAGAAGAGAGACUGUCCGACACAGAACAUUAUGCAAGGAGGUGGGGCUGUCGGAGAAUAGCAAAGAGGAUGUCAAAGCCAGAGUCAAGGAGGUGUUAUUAACAUCAUCACGAGCACAGUUGAUGUGGCUCAUCGACUGUGGCUCAUCGACUGGGCAGGCUUAAUAGUGAGAACCAGCGAGCCAGGCCUGUGAUCAUUCGAUUCAUUUCACGAUCUGAGAAAGAUAUUUUCUGGAGAGCAGCAAAAAACAGCGAAUACUUGAAGACCAGCAAGUUGCAAUUCAAGGAGGAUUUGGUGCCCACUGACAGAGCAUCGAGACAAAAGCUGUGUCUCAUUUCAUUUCAUUUCGAAGGCUGCAUCCUCAAGAGGACAAAUCCUGUGAACCGGGAAUUGUUUGUUCUACUUGGUAAACGAGUUUAUAGCAGUUGUUCAAGUUAUCUCUAAUCUCUAAAAGUCUUUUUCAUUAGUUUCUCUUAAUGUUGGGGGCAUCUGUGAUAUAAAUAAAAGAAAGGCUGUGUUUUUGUUUUUGAAAGAUAAAA